rnacentral:rRNA from 1 species
GGAAUAUUGGACAAUGGGCGCAAGCCUGAUCCAGCCAUGCCGCGUGCAGGAAGAAUGCCCUAUGGGUUGUAAACUGCUUUUAUUUGGGAAUAAACCUCCUUACGUGUAGGGAGCUGAAGGUACCAAAUGAAUAAGCAACGGCUAACUCCGUGCCAGCCGCCGCGGUAAUACGGAGGGUGCAAGCGUUAUCCGGAAUCAUUGGGUUUAAAGGGUCCGCAGGCGGGCUUAUAAGUCAGUGGUGAAAUCUCUCGGCUUAACCGAGAAACUGCCAUUGAUACUGUAAGUCUUGAAUUCGGUCGAAGUAGGCGGAAUGUGUCAUGUAGCGGUGAAAUGCAUAGAUAUGACACAGAACACCGAUAGCGAAGGCAGCUCACUAGGCCUGGAUUGACGCUCAGGGACGAAAGCGUGGGGAGCGAAC